GUCACCCUGGCUCCGGUGAGCCCGGCGGGGGUGGCUCAGCCAGCGCAGCGCCCUGGGCCCCCUGCGAGUGACACAGAGCAGGGACCUGCUCAGAUCCACCCCUGACAGCAGCCCUGGCUGGCUCAGGCAGAGCAGCAUCGCCUCUUCUGGCAGUGCCAAGGCUGGGGACAGACGGACACUGGGGAUUGCCUGUGGCUGGCACAGCUCAGGCCCUGCCCCCCAUCACCAGAGGUGGAGUUCAGCUGCUGGAGAUGAGCGAUUCCCCUCUGGAAUGAGUGCAGGAGGAUGGAGCCAUGCCAGCGUCCCUUCCCUUAUUCUGGUUCCUUCAGAAGUCCAGCUGCGGAAAGUACGAUUUUCCAAGCUGCAAGUAGCCAGGGGCACUUAACUCCAGCAGCCUUGACCUUGAGAGGUUUCUCCAGAGCCACCUGGUCCCCCUGGGAAGCUGGAAAACCUCCUUCUAUCGCAUUGCAUCUGCCAGCAGCUCAUAAAUCAGCCGGCAGUGGCUGGCAGCCCCUUUGAGGAUCCCGUCCGUGUUGGCGCUCGCGGUGAAGCGUGCGCUCAGCAAACCAACCUCUCCGUUUCAGCAGAGAGUCCAUCUGCCAUGUUUGGAGGCGAUUUUGUUCGAAAUUGGUUCAGCGCUGCAAGGUAGAGUUGAUUUCACCACCACCCCUCUUUUCCCAAAUCUCUGUUCAGGAAUACAGUUGGAUGCAAAUCUCUGGAUUUUCAUGUUAUGUAAAGAAUCACAGACUGAACUGUACUGGGCCGGUUAUUUCUCUCUUUGAGUAAGCUGAAGAAUUUAUUUGUAGAGUUAAAAGUAAAAAAAAAUGGAAUAAAA